GCCCGGAUGGCGAAAUUGGUAGACGCACAGGACUUAAAAUCCUGCGGAGGUAGCCCCUCCGUGCCGGUUCGAUUCCGGCUCCGGGCA
rnacentral:tRNA from 2 species